GGGGAGCACAGAUAUAGAAAUAAUCAGAAGAGCGGCCUAACGCCUUGUCCGGAUGAGCAGUUUCCGCGCUCGCGUUGGCAGCCGUCUCUCUCCUCCCCGCACCCCGACCCCUGCGGAGGAAGGGAUAGGAAGCGAACGGAUAAAACGAGGGUUUGGGCGGAGCUCCGUUUAAAAAGCCGCAUGUCCCUGCCUCGCUCUUCCCUUUAUCCGCCACCCCACCUCCCCCGCGCAACGGUAGCAGUAGCCAGCUCUCGUCCUACUCACAGUAUCUCCGCUGAAGUUAAGGGGCAUGACUUAGUCCAUUAAUUUCAGUGGCUCUGCUCAAAGUUCCCACAGAGACCAGUUGCGCUUUGACAACGUGACAUAUAACAGUUUAGAUAAAGUCAAAGGGGGGAAAAGUAACAGAACUCGGAAGCCGAAGUUGUGUGCCCUUCUAUAAUUCUAGCUCAUGGGCCCGAAUCUAAGGGGAAGGGGAGAGGAGGAAGAAAAAAGGACAAGGAAGAGACUGGGGCAGAGAGCGACACUAGUAAAGUGCCUGAGAAGAUGAAUGGUGUCCCCUGGCGGCUCCAGCGCGCCACUACAGCGGCGCAGUCGCCGGUUGAGCCUUGUUCUUCCCCGCUUCCCUGUUCAAAGAUUUGAGCGCUCCACUUCUCCAAAGCCAGAACAUAGCUCAGUGGUAGAGCACAUACGUACUUUGAGUGCAGAUGGACCCAGGUUCAAUCCCAAGCAGCAUCUCUAUGUAAGGAGUGGGGCAGACAAUCCUUUGAAACCCUGGAGGCUGUGGACAGCCCUAAGCUUCUGCAUUAUUAAACCCAAGCCACUGACCACAUAGCUGGGCUUCUCUUCAUUUGACAAGAAAGGAGAAUUUCUUCAUGCCUGCAAUUGAUUUCCACACUUCAAAUCAAAGAUUAUUCAAUCUUCCUCUAGAAAUCUGAUUUGCAGGAUUCCAAGCGAGAUGACGAUGACACAACCGCUCCAGAUGUGUCUGUGGCUUUUAGGUGUGGGAGCGAGGCCAAGGGAAGUACCACUUUGGAUUUCUUUCAGCAGCAAAUCUUUUAAGAAAUCCCCAGACCUCUGUUGUGAAGGCAAACAGAAACUCCUGUGAGGCAGACCUGCCUGACAGCAACUUGGACAGUGCCCCCCCCCGACUGCCACCAUGACUGCACCUCCCAGGCCCAGUCAUCAGGUGUGGGGGAUCAUGUGCUUAAGAAGGCUGAAGGAGUCUCCGAAGAAUUCAGCACUGUUGAGGGACCUCCAGAAAUGAUCUGGGUCAAUGAUUUUUGAACUCUGCCUCUGAGAUUCUUCACUGGAUACUGAAUUACAACUGAUGAUCUUUUAGUGCAAUCCUAUGUAGAUUUACCCAGAAAGAGUUUUUUCCCUUUCUGGGUUGCAUCAAAGCACGUCCUGCCUCAUCGCACCUUAGAGCAUCCUCAGAGCGCAGUGACAUGAUCUGUGCCAGCCCACCUGGAAACACAACCGUUACAAAGCAGCAGCAUCACCGAUUCUCUUUCUACUUCUGCCAUCAAUGAACUGGAGAAAACAAGAGGCAGGAGCAGACCAAACAGUGGGGAUGCAGGCAGGCUGCAGUUUCUACAACCAGUCCUGUAUUGAUUCUGCAAACCCCCUUAUUAACACCUGGCUGCGCUUUUGCAGUUUGCUGUUUGCCUGUGAGAUUAACCCGGACAAUUGCUUAAUCUCACUAGGCAUUCAAUAACGGUGUUAGAGCCUGGGAUGGCAACAGUAGCUGCCUGGAGGACUCCCAAGGAGAGGGAGAGGAAGCUGAGGGACCACUCCACAAGGGAAGGUGUUUGAAAAAGGCAACCUGAAGAAAGAAGGGAACGGGAGACGUCAAAGAUGUUCAUAAAUCACCGAAAAGGAGAAGAAGCCGCAGACCAUCAAAUGUGCAACAGAGCAAGGCAUUUUACGGGGCGGUUAAACGACAAUAAGCAUUUGUCCUUGUUUGCUUGUGGUGAGUUUAUAUGUCUGCUCAUUCAUCAUUUGCAGCAUUAGCAGGAAUGCCUCAAAGGACAAAAUCAUGACCAGACCCUGGCAGAAGAAUGCACAUAUGGUUAAAGGCCAAGAAUCCUGGGAAUUAUAGUUUGGCAACAUGCAAAAAAUUAUCUGUGCACUCUUUGAGAUGCUGACUUUCAUCUGUAAAACGGCACAUCACUUGCAACCCAGUUCUUCAAGGCCGAAGUGGAGAAGGGUUCCAUGUGAACAGCAGUUGAACAGCCCCAAGGAAUGGUGUGAAGGCACAUGACACAGCAUCAUUUCUGAAGCUAAGCACGUUGGGGUCUGGUCAGCAUCUGGAUGGGAGACCACCUGGGAACCCUGAGCUCCAUGGAAAAAAGACACAAUGCAAAUGUAAUAAAUAAGCAAGCAUGGACUUCGCUCCAUUGUAAGUUCAGUCUCACCCCUGCAGAGCACAGUGUAACAUCACAGGAGCACAAUGUAGCUUAGAAUGGGAUUCCAUAGACAUACGUUUGGUCUUCUAGCACUGCAGCAGUGUUUAGGGAAUUGACAUUUGGCCAGUUAUGCCUAACUAAUGCUACAAUAAUGGAUCUCCUAUCUUGCCUUGUAUGGGGGAAAGUGCAUACCAUAUAUAUGAUCUAAGGAGCUGCAUCUGAGGUAUAAUUAGGGCUGCCAUACAUCCAGAUUUUCCCAGACAUUACCGGGAUUUCAAAAGUGGAAUUGACGUCCCGGGGGAAU